AUGCAGCUGAUGAAUUCCAAAUAGGAUGAAACGCACAUCCUGCAU
rnacentral:hammerhead_ribozyme from 1 species